CAGCAGCCACGGUAAUACAGAGGAUGCAAGCGUUAUCCGGAAUGAUUGGGCGUAAAGCGUCUGUAGGUGGCUUUUCAAGUCCGCCGUCGAAUCCCAGGGCUCAACCCUGGACAGGCGGUGGAAACUACCAAGCUGGAGUACGGUAGGGGCAGAGGGAAUUUCCAGUGGAGCGGUGAAAUGCGUUGAGAUCGGAGAGAACACCAACGGCGAAAGCACUCUGCUGGGCCGACACUGACACUGAGAGACGAAAGCUAGGGGAGCAAAUGGGAUUAGAUACCCGCGUAGUCCCUGUCUCUUAUAA
rnacentral:rRNA from 1 species